AUUGAACGCUGGCGGCAGGCCUAACACAUGCAAGUCGAGCGGAUGAAGGGAGCUUGCUCCUGGAUUCAGCGGCGGACGGGCGAGUAAUGCCUAGGAAUCUGCCUGGUAGUGGGGGAUAACGUCCGGAAACGGGCGCUAAUACCGCAUACGUCCUGAGGGUGAACGUGGGGGUUCUUCGGACAUCACGCUAUCAGAUGAGCCUAGGUCGGAUUAGCUAGUUGGUGGGGUAAAGGCGUACCAAGGCGACGAUCCGUAACUGGUCUGAGAGGCUGAUCAGUCACACUGGAACUGAGACACGGUCCAGACUCCUACGGGAGGCAGCAGUAGGGAAUAUUGGGCAAUGGGCGAAAGCCUGAUCCAGCCAUGCCGCGUGUGUGAAGAAGGUCUUCGGAUUGUAAAGCACUUUAAGUUGGGAGGAAGGGCAGUAAGUUAAUACCUUGCUGUUUUGACGGUACCAACAGAAUAAGCACCGGCUAACUUCGUG
rnacentral:rRNA from 1 species